AUUGAACGCUGGCGGCAGGCCUAACACAUGCAAGUCGAACGAGUGGCGGACGGGUGAGUAAUGUCUGGGAAAUUGCCUGAUGGAGGGGGAUAACUACUGGAAACGGUAGCUAAUACCGCAUACCAUCGGAUGUGCCCAGCUGGGAUUACCUAUUAGGUGGGGUGAAGGCUCACCUAGGCGCUGAUCCCUAGCUGUGCUGAGAGGAUGACCAGCCACACUGGAACUGAGACACGGUCCAGACUCAUACGGGAGGCAGCAGUGGGGAAUAUUGCACAAUGGGCGCAAGCCUGAUGCAGCCAUGCCGCGUGUAUGAAGAAGGCCUUCGGGUUGUAAAGUACUUUCAGCGAGGAGGCGUUACCCGCAGAAGAAGCACCGGCUAACUCCGGGCCAGCAGCCGCGGUAAUUC
rnacentral:rRNA from 1 species